rnacentral:lncRNA from 1 species
AAAAAUAAAUAAAUAGGAUGUGGGUGGUCUCUCUCGAUCUUUCUCUAGGGGCCCUGACCGUAAUAUCAUCAAAUGACUGCGUUGUUCAGUAUUUAUUAGAAGAGUAAUGAUACUAUAGGACUCUUUUCACCCAGGUGUGUGGGAUUCCAAAGGAUCACCAUUAAAAUUGACACGAAGUUUUAGAAAAGUUAUCAUAUCGGUGUGAGACUUGAUUUUCUAUAGAUCCAUGCUAAAUUUAAUGGUGAUCUUUUGAGGUCCUACACACAUGUGUAGACGAGGAUCCUAUUGGAUCAUUUCUCUUAGUAGAAAAUUGUAUUACUAUUGCAAAUCUGUGAUUUAUUUAUUUUUUUGCUGACACGCAUGCGUGAGUAGCAAUGGACAGAGAUCCUUUCAAUGAAGGCCCUUGUUGAUUAAAAUUUUCUGUUCUCUCUUAAUUGAUUGCCUUGUCACCAAGAUUGAAUGAUUUGGAGUGCACAUAUUCUUGGACGAUUCUAUCUUUUGCUCUCAGCAGGAUGACAGGUUAUUGUAUUAGUUUCUUUUCUUCUUUUGUUCUUAUUUUCUUUGACCCUACUUUUUAAGUCUGAAAUUGUGAAUGUGGUUAUUAUGAUUGAAAGGCCUCCAAUUGGGAUUGAUUCAAUUGUAGGUACUCAGUGACAGGCUUAGUUAAUGUGCCCUCUGUCUCCUUCCAUAUUUUCUUGACGGACACUGGUAACCUCUUGCGCAUUUGCUUUUUUGGAAUGCAUAGCAUAACUUCUGGUUCUUGACUGAUGCAUGCAUUUUUCUUUUUGCUCACAUACAUAUGUAUUUGUUUUGCAAUUUCAUUUUUG